UACGGAGGGUGCAAGCAUUAAUCGGAUUUAUUGGGCGUAAAGGGCGCGUAGGCGGGAAUGUAAGUCAGAUGUGAAAGCCCGGGGCUCAACCCCGGAACGGCAUUUGAAACUGCGUUUCUAGAGGGUAGGCGGAGAAAAUGGAAUUCCACAAGUAGCGGUGAAAUGCGUAGAUAUGUGGAAGAACACCAGUGGCGAAGGCGGUUUUCUAGCUUAUACCUGACGCUGAGGCGCGAAAGCAAGGGGAUCAAACAGG
rnacentral:rRNA from 1 species